rnacentral:rRNA from 1 species
AUUGAACGCCGGCGGCAUGCUUUACACAUGCAAGUCGAACGGUAACAGGCCUUCGGGCGCUGACGAGUGGCGAACGGGUGAGUAAUGCAUCGGAACGUGCCCAGAGGUGGGGGAUAACGCAGCGAAAGCUGUGCUAAUACCGCAUAUUAUCUGAGGAUGAAAGCGGGGGACUAAGUAGCAAUGUUUGGCCUCGCGCCUUUGGAGCGGCCGAUGUCAGAUUAGGUAGUUGGUGGGGUAAAGGCCUACCAAGCCGACGAUCUGUAGCUGGUCUGAGAGGACGACCAGCCACACUGGGACUGAGACACGGCCCAGACUCCUACGGGAGGCAGCAGUGGGGAAUUUUGGACAAUGGGCGCAAGCCUGAUCCAGCAAUGCCGCGUGCAGGAAGAAGGCCUUCGGUUGUAAACUGCUUUUGUACGGAACGAAAAGGCUCUGGUUAAUACCUGGGCGUCAUGACGGUACCGUAAGAAUAAGCACCGGCUAACUACGUGCCAG